rnacentral:rRNA from 1 species
UACGUAGGGCGCAAGCGUUGUCCGGAAUUAUUGGGCGUAAAGAGCUCGUAGGCGGCUUGUCACGUCGGAUGUGAAAGCCCGGGGCUUAACUCCGGGUCUGCAUUCGAUACGGGCUGGCUAGAGGUAGGUAGGGGAGAACGGAAUUCCUGGUGUAGCGGUGAAAUGCGCAGAUAUCAGGAGGAACACCGGUGGCGAAGGCGGUUCUCUGGGCCUUACCUGACGCUGAGGAGCGAAAGCGUGGGGAGCGAACAGG